ensembl:lncRNA
UACAUGUGUUCUGUUUGCAAAAAGACAGCCUAAGAACCUGAAGAAAAAAGACACAUAAGCAUGUAAAAAUCUAUUCCAGGCAGUAUUUGUAUGCAACUUUCUGGAAUCUGUUGGUGGAACAUGUAUUAAAUUUCUGCUUUUCAGCUGAUCUGAUACAGGUGUAGCGACUACCACAGGCUGAUGUCAUUAAUUGUAAUGUUCUGUAGGAGUAAUCAAUGAACUCUGUUUCCUGAAAACAGUUUCACCUUUGAGCUAUUAGUGCUAUAAUGAAGAGGGCGCAGAAUAUACUUACAUAAAGAACUUAGAAUCUAUUAGCACCUGUGCUGAGCACUAAAGCUGCUGAUACUUUGCAUGCAAAUUGUAGUCAUCAUCCGAGAAGAAGCAGAGUUCAUAGGUUCAAUAUUCUCUCACUUUCAAUCUCCUAUGUCAGCUAUGUCUUAACCAGCUGGGGGCAGAAUUACAUUCUGGAAAUUAGUGAGAAAAAAAGAAAGCCAUUUUUCCAGGCAGAAACCAGUGCAAUUAAAGGGAUUUCCUGACGAGGUGGAAGAGCUGGGGAGGGAACCCAGAUCUGUGUGUCCUUCUCACUUGGCUGCUUUUGUUGGCAGCAGCUAAGGAAGCUGAACUACCCGUGUGAUUCUCUGCAGACUGCAUGCACUGCGAUAGCCAAAACUCGUGAAUGUUCUUACUUUGCAGAGUUCUGUGGUGCCUGCUAAGAGCUGUGGUGAGUGGGUACCUCAUUAAUAGUAAAGGAUCUUGGGGUUUGUGUUGCUAAGUCAUCAGUUGUAACUUCUGUCUAGGUAAGAUGCUGAUUUCCAUGUGGUGCUGUGCUGCUGUGACUUAAUAGAUUUCACCCAGUCUUGCCUUAGAAUUGGGAAAAUUAAGCCCUUACAUGUUGUUACAUGAUAUCCUGUUCACAUUAUACUUUUUUCACUAUCUCAAUUUAAUUUAACUUAACUUUUAUUAAAGGUUUUCUUCCAAAAGCCCUUUCUUAUCGACCAAACCAGUAAAUUCAAUGUGAGGAAGGCUAGACAUCAUAUUUUCACUCAGGGGAAUAGAGCACAAAAGAGGAAGCCUUUAAGAUGCUACUAUCCAUCCUUUUACCUGAUCAGUAUAUGAAGAACAUAGUACAAGAGUAAGGACUGAAGAGUUAAUGUCUUACAUUAAUCUCCCCCAUUAUAUUAUGUUAAGCAAUAUCUUCCUCAAAUGACUGUACAAUGCACUACUAAUAGUAAAAUAAGUUUCACGACAGGAUUUAAUUAGAAUUGUAGCCAUUGAAUAAUUUUAUUUAUUUAAAUCCAUGACAAAAUUGCAUUCCAAAUAAUAUAAAGACAUCUGCUUUGAAACUUGCAGAGCCUGGUGGGAUUGGUGGAACUUUACAGCCAAACCGCUCAACAAAAAGAUUCCUCAGUUUUCUCUCAUUAUGCACAAUUAUGAGUUUUGACUUCAAAUACUUAUAAUUACAGUAUUCUGAAAUGAUGUCCUAAAUAUAUAUGUUUCACAGCAUGACUGUGACUUCCAGCAAAUUCUCGUCUGAGGUGCUUGGUAAAGUAAAACUGAAUCAGUGAGAGUACAAUAAUCAAGUUACAGUGUUUAGAUACAAUAACCAAAAAUAAAGUCAAUUUAAUCUUCCA